GACGAACGCUGGCGGCGUGCUUAACACAUGCAAGUCGAACGCUGAAGCUCAGCUUGCUGGGUGGAUGAGUGGCGAACGGGUGAGUAACACGUGAGUAACCUGCCCUCUUCUUUGGGAUAACGCCCGGAAACGGGUGCUAAUACUGGAUAUUCACUGAUUCUCGCAUGGGGGUUGGUGGAAAGGUUUUUUCUGGUGGGGGAUGGGCUCGCGGCCUAUCAACUUGUUGGUGGGGUGAUGGCCUACCAAGGCUUUGACGGGUAGCCGGCCUGAGAGGGUGACCGGUCACAUUGGGACUGAGAUACGGCCCAGACUCCUACGGGAGGCAGCAGUGGGGAAUAUUGCACAAUGGGCGAAAGCCUGAUGCAGCGACGCCGCGUGAGGGAUGGAGGCCUUCGGGUUGUAAACCUCUUUCGCUCAUGGUCAAGCCGCAGCUUUGGGUUGUGGUGAGGGUAGUGGGUAAAGAAGCGCCGGCUAACUACGUG
rnacentral:rRNA from 1 species